rnacentral:lncRNA from 1 species
CCUUGGGAAACGCCUGCUUCUGCUUCUCAGCAGGAGCCUGCAGGGCUCAGCCUAGAGAGCUCAGACCUCACCCUACUUCUCCUCACCAGGUACUUUAGUUGGUGUUCAUGUGGUGUGUGUGCGUGUGUGCCUGUGCGUGCGUGUGUGUGUGUGUGUGUGUGUGUGUGUGUGUGUGUGUGUGUGUGUGUUGCGCAUUUCCCCAGCAGAACGGAAACUCCAACAGGCUGGCUGUUUAUGCCAGUUCUCUUGGCCGACGUACACCCAGCAUCUGGAAGCAUGCCCAGCAGAGAGAAGGCGCCUAAUGGACGUUUGUUACAAUUCUCUCCUGAGAGUGUAGUUCUGAGUGAUAGGGGGUCAAACUAGGGACAUAAAAGGUGGAAAAAAGAAGAACCCACAAAGUAGCAUAGGCCAGCUACAACUACUGCAACUGAAGUGUCCAGGCAAGGCACAGAUUACUCUUGAUCAGCAAGGUCCAAUUGGAAGAUGGAACACAGAGACUGGAAAGGCAGAACCAAACCGUGAUGAGCUGAAGCCUAGCGCCAGCAGUGCCCGUCCUGCAUUGAAGGGACCCAAGAGAGCAGCCCUCCUCUCCUCCUUGUUCCCGAAGCCUGAAGAACGCGUGUCACCUGCUAAUGGGACCCGGCAGGUGGAACUAGAUCACAGGUUGAAAUGAAGAUGUCAGACUGCAAAGCAGGGGACAGUAACCAGACCUGGCAGAUCAAGAUGUGAGUUCUCAGCUGCUCCUGCCACACCUUUGUUCAGCCACCAUGGCCUGUAUCUUUCUGGAACCAAAACUCUGAUUAAACGCUUUCUUUUAUAAGUU